rnacentral:rRNA from 1 species
UACGUAGGUGGCAAGCGUUGUCCGGAUUUACUGGGCGUAAAGAGCGCGCAGGCGGUCGGAUAAGUCGAGUGUGAAAGCCCCUGGCUCAACCAGGGAGGGUCAUUCGAUACUGUUCGACUCGAAGGCAGGAGAGGGAGGUGGAAUUCCGGGUGUAGUGGUGAAAUGCGUAGAUAUCCGGAGGAACACCAGUGGCGAAGGCGACUUUCUGGCCUGUUCUUGACGCUGAGGCGCGAAAGCUAGGGGAGCAAACGGG